ensembl:lncRNA
CUCUCAUUGACUGUGGGCAUGUCAAUUCUCCUGGAAGAGGGAGGCAUAUCUUGGUUAUGCUUCCACCCUCCUCAAGCACUUGGCUAACAGUGGACAACAAUGAAUUCUUGUAUGGACCCACGUUCACUGUCUACAAUGUCCACAGUGUGCAGCAUUUGCCUGAGGAUGUUACACACUUCAAGUGUUCAUUGAACGAUGUGUCAUCCUUCUCAUUUGAGAAUCACCUACAGGAAUUAAACAAGAUGGUGACAGCAAAAACCCGAUUUCCCAGGUAACAAAAAGAUUGGCUAAGAUGGAACAUCAUCAAUGGCACACAGGGCGGCAGAAACCGAAGGGCCGCUAUGUUUCUACCAAAACACGCGACUGCUGCUUUCUCCUGAAGGAUGACCGUUAUGCCUUUGUGUUGGAGAAAAGAUCCAAUGGUACUCUUGUUGCAGAUGUCAUUUUGCAGGAUGACACACAAGACUUUUUUUGAGAGUCCCUGCAAGUCAAAGCUCCUAGACAUAGUUUAUGUCAGAAGCCCCAUGGAGAAGGCAAAAAGAUGUCUGUUGCAGCCCAAAGGCUUGCACAGAAAAGCAGUGUGUUUACCGUACGCAGAAGAGUUUGCGAUUUUUCCCCUUCUCCAUGACAUGGAAUGAAAGUUAUUUGGGGUAACGAAAUUAUUCCGAUAAAAUCUGUGCAAAUUAACAGGAAUCAUUUUAGAGAAAUUCUCAUUAACCAUUUCUUUAUUUUCCCAGGAGAUGGCUGUAAACCAGGAAAAGAGAGUCAGAAAACGUACAGUUUUUAGGGAUUUUGUCCAAAAUGUUUCAACUGAUGAUGACAACACAAUUUCAAAGGGAGCUGUAGCGCGUUCUAGGAACUCUACAGGAAAUCCUUCACAGUUUUUGUUUCAGAAGUCUGCCAGUGCCUCCCCAAAAUUAAAAAAAAAAAAACACAAAUACAUCAACCUCUCCACCACCACACAGUCUUUAUCCUGGGUCUGAGGAUCUUUUCCAGACUGAAGAGAAAGGCAGCGGCCACACAACUUUCUCCAACACCUUCAUGGCUGUCGUAGCAUCUUUGGAUGACACGUGGGUUUCAGAUGGAAUCUCCACUCCUCGCACCCCCAAUCCUGUCUCGGCAAGGAAAUGUAGGGUAUUACAAACUCUCGCCCAAUACUCCUAUAAACGUAUUCAAAAUGUAGAAAUUUAAGUAUUCCAAUACUAAACUCUUGCCCCGAAGGCAUUGGACCCAGGGCUUUAACAGGUACAGAGGAACCACUAAAAAAAAUCCAUGUUGUUAACUUCUGUUGUGUAUAUUUCAUGUCAUUGGAGCCUUUAGCGCUGUAUAGUAGUGGUUUGGCAUUGGUUUGUUUUAAAAUGUUCCACCUUAGAUUGUGUCUGUGAUUUGUGGUUAUUACUACAGCUGGAAGACAAUCCCCCAGUCAAAUGUGGAAAGGUGAGACUCCACAAUUCCAUCACCACGCCUCAUAAUGUUAAUUAAAGCACAAGUCCACCUCCGCCCCCGUCCCAAUGGAGGUGAGCCUUCACCGCAGGACUGGAUAUCUUGCACAACAAAGUACCAGAGCCUGCCCUUACACUAGCUCCCAAUGCCAUUGAUGUUGAACUUCUUUAACAAAACACACAUCAUAACAUUGUUUUUCCAUCAAUUAUUCCAGGCAAAAAGGGUAUAUUUUUCCCAUGUCCACAGCAAGUAAGUAAACGCUUUGCCAAUUCUAUAUUUGUCUGUAAUAUAUUCAUCAAUGACCAUGCAAACAACAUUUUAUGAAUUUGUUGUUUUUGUAAGAAUUCCAAAGGGUGGUCCUUGGGAAGUCAAGGUGGACCUGACGGAAGAGGUUCACCAAAUUAGAAGGGAGGUGGAGCCCGACGGUUUUAUCCACGAGGUCCCAAAAUUAAAACUGCAAGUGGAACUUGAUGUGCUGGAGGGGACAUUAAAAGAUGCAGACCAGCGGACAUCAUUGGUAAAAAUUAGAUAAUGGUUAAACUUUUUGGAAAUGUAUUUUUACAAAAGAGGUUAUUUAUUUAUUUCAGACCCAGAGGGAUCCAUAAUACAGUGCAAAGCAGACACACAUUGUAAUAGAUACAAAAAACUAAAAAUAAAUAAAAAGAAUAGCAAUACAACGUAUAAAACCCUUCAACAGUUCAUUGUCUAACAUACUUGUUCUCCAGUGGUUCCACAACCUGGACGCAAAUCUUACAGAACUUAGUCCUGUGUUAGCCAACACAAUGAUUAUGUCAUUUUCUGACUCCGAUACCCUAUCCAUUAAUCUGUACAUCAAGUUGCGCAAUACUGCAGUACAGGUACUUUUCAUGUAAACAAUAUUAACACAUUAAGAAAUACCUUAAAACACAUAUACACAAUUUUGACAGGUUCAUUUGCUGGCCAAAGUAGGGGGCAAGACGGUGAAGGAUGCAACCAAUAAAAUAUUGGACAGGUAUGAACAUCAUACAGACACUGUAAUAUCUGCCAAAUAUAGAAGUCAAAAGUAAACCAUAAACAAACAACUGAAAUUGCAGGGAUACAUUAUGGAGGAAUUACUGGCAGUUGAAAAUGCGGAAGUGACCCUAUUUUGUGAUUCUCAGACUUUUCACAAACCAAUUAAUGCCCACUUUCAACAUGAAAGGGGGUGGCCAAAAAAACAAGAAGGCUUUUAGGGUUACUGGGCUGUACGCGGUGAUUAAAAGGUAUGUUCAGAUAUGUAAAAUACAUUUAAUGAGUGGUUGUACUGUAAAAGUCUAUUUUCAUGUUGAUAUAUAAUCAAUAAGGCUGUCAUGCGGCCAUACAGCAGUGCCACAGAGGCAGAGGUUAAUAAGGCGAUGGCGGACCAUUUGAAGCAGGCUCCUGGGAGGUCCGGUGGGGGCGGUUUUUAAAAAAGGAGACGUCACAGACCGGACGUAACUAGUUCAAUUGUUGGAUCAGAAUGUUCUUUUGCAGUUUC